rnacentral:misc_RNA from 1 species
AAGGAGCACCACGAAAACGCCCCAACUGGUGGGGCGUAGGCCGUGAGGGGUUCUUGUCUGUAGUGGGCGAGAGCCGGGUGCAUGACAACAAAGUUGGCCACCAACACACUGUUGGGUCCUGAGGCAACACUCGGACUUGUUCCAGGUGUUGUCCCACCGCCUUGGUGGUGGGGUGUGGUGUUUGAGAACUGGAUAGUGGUUGCGAGCAUCAAUGGAUACGCUGCCGGCUAGCGGUGGCGUGUUCUUUGUGCAAUAUUCUUUGGUUUUU